rnacentral:rRNA from 1 species
CACGUAGGGCGCGAGCGUUGUCCGGAAUUAUUGGGCGUAAAGAGCUCGUAGGCGGCCUGUUGCGUCCGCUGUGAAAGCCCGGGGCUUAACCCCGGGUCGGCAGUGGAUACGGGCAGGCUAGAGGUAGGUAGGGGAGAAUGGAAUUCCCGGUGUAGCGGUGAAAUGCGCAGAUAUCAGGAAGAACACCUAUGGCGAAGGCAGCUCUCUGGGACGGUACUGACGCUGAGACGCGAAAGCGUGGGGAGCGAACAGG